GAACGACGCUGGCGGCAGGCUUAACACAUGCAAGUCGAACGCCCCGCAAGGGGAGUGGCGCACGGGUGAGUAACGCGUGGGAAUAUGCCCUUCGGUUCGGAAUAACACAGGGAAACUUGUGCUAAUACCGGAUACGAUCUACGGAUGAAAGAUUUAUCGCCGAGGGAGUAGCCCGCGUAGGAUUAGCUAGUUGGUGAGGUAAUGGCUCACCAAGGCGACGAUCCUUAGCUGGUCUGAGAGGAUGAUCAGCCACACUGGGACUGAGACACGGCCCAGACUCCUACGGGAGGCAGCAGUGGGGAAUAUUGGACAAUGGGCGAAAGCCUGAUCCAGCCAUGCCGCGUGAGUGAUGAAGGCCUUAGGGUUGUAAAGCUCUUUCGCCAGGGAAGAUAAUGACGGUACCUGGAAAAGAAGCCUCGGCUAACUCCGUG
rnacentral:rRNA from 1 species